CUCGUCUGUGCUUAUGUAAACGGCUGCUGGCAGCGGUUGCAGCAGCAUAUAGUCACAGUCCUUGCCCGCCAGGGGAAAAUCGAACUGCACUCUUGAACUGAUUUCUUCUACCGACCUGUGCAUACCGGCCUUCUCCAUUUCCACGUGCACUAUCGGCUGUUGCAGAAGAUAGCUGUGUGCUGCACUUGCCAGGAGCGCAAUCACACCUAUUGCACUCUUCCAAUUACGCUUUGAAAUCAUUUUUAGCUAAUAAAAUGCAAAAUUCUCAAGCAAAUUUGUAAAUAAAAACAUUCUGUUUCAUUUCCGACUCAUUUUCAAAA